rnacentral:rRNA from 1 species
UACGGGCGGUGCAAGCGUUGUUCGGAGUUACUGGGCAUAAAGCGCACGUAGGCGGGUUUGCAAGUCGGAUGUGAAAUCCCUAGGCUUAACCUGGGAACUGCAUUCGAAACUAUAAAUCUUGAAUACCUCAGAGGUUGGUAGAAUUCCUGGUGUAGGAGUGAAAUCCGUAGAUAUCAGGAGGAAUACCGGAGGCGAAGGCGGCCGACUGGGAGAGUAUUGACGCUGAGGUGCGAAAGCGUGGGGAGCAAACAGG